rnacentral:rRNA from 1 species
UAUUGCACAAUGGGGGAAACCCUGCUGCAGCGACGCCGCGUGAGUGAAGAAGUAUUUCGGUANGUAAAGCUCUAUCAGCAGGGAANNCCNNNANGGUACCUGAUUAAGAAGCCCCGGCUAACCACGUGCCNNNANCCGCGGUAAUACGUAGGGGACAAGCGUUAUCCGGAUUUACUGAGUGUAAAGGGAGCGUAGACGGCAACACAAGUCUGGAGUGAAAUGCCGGGGCUUAACCCCGGAACUGCUUUGGAAACUGUGCAGCUAGAGUGCAGGAGAGGUAAGUGGAAUUCCUAGUGUAGAGGUGAAAUGCGUAGAUAUUAGGAGGAACACCAGUGGCGAAGGCGGCUUACUGGACUGUAACUGACGUUGAGGCUCGAAAGCGUGGGGAGCAAACAGG